rnacentral:rRNA from 1 species
GACGAACGCUGGCGGCGUGCCUAACACAUGCAAGUCAAGGAGAAUUCCCGACUUGUCGGGAUAGUAAACUGGCGAACGGGUGAGUAACACGUAGGUAAUCUACCCUCGGGAUCGGGAUAACCUCGCGAAAGUGGGGAUAAUACCGAAUAAAGUCUCGGUAUAAUUUGUCGAGAUGAAAGAUGGGGAUCUUCGGACCUAUUACCUGAGGAUGAGCCUGCGCCUGAUUAGCUAGUUGGUAGGGUAAAUGCCUACCAAGGCAACGAUCAGUAGCUGGUCUGAGAGGAUGAUCAGCCACAUUGGGACUGAGAUACGGCCCAGACUCCUACGGGAGGCAGCAGUGAGGAAUUUUGCGCAAUGGGCGAAAGCCUGACGCAGCAACGCCGCGUGACUGAUUAAGCUCUGAGGAGUGUAAAAGUCUGUCGUAGAGGAAGAAACUAUCCGAUAAGAAUAUUAGUCGGAUACUGACGGUACUCGUAUGAGAAAGCUCCGGCUAACUCCG